rnacentral:rRNA from 1 species
UACAGAGGUCUCAAGCGUUGUUCGGAUUCAUUGGGCGUAAAGGGUGCGUAGGCGGCGGGGCAAGUCGGAUGUGAAAUCUCAGGGCUCAACCCUGAAACUGCAUUCGAUACUGCCUUGCUCGAGGACUGGAGAGGAGAUUGGAAUUCACGGUGUAGCAGUGAAAUGCGUAGAUAUCGUGAGGAAGACCAGUGGCGAAGGCGGAUCUCUGGACAGUUCCUGACGCUGAGGCACGAAAGCGUGGGGAUCGAACAGG